rnacentral:tRNA from 1 species
ACCCCUGUUCCUGCGGGAGCGCCACCCUCUCAAGGUGGUAGCACGGGUUCAAAUCCCGUACGGGGUACCA